GUCGAGCGGUAGCAGAGGAGCUUGCUUCUCUUGAGAGCGGCGGACGGGUGAGUAAAGCCUAGGAAUCUGCCUGGUAGUGGGGGAUAACGUUCGGAAACGGACGCUAAUACCGCAUACGUCCUACGGGAGAAAGCAGGGGACCUUCGGGCCUUGCGCUAUCAGAUGAGCCUAGGUCGGAUUAGCUAGUUGGUGAGGUAAUGGCUCACCAAGGCGACGAUCCGUAACUGGUCUGAGAGGAUGAUCAGUCACACUGGAACUGAGACACGGUCCAGACUCCUACGGGAGGCAGCAGUGGGGAAUAUUGGACAAUGGGCGAAAGCCUGAUCCAGCCAUGCCGCGUGUGUGAAGAAGGUCUUCGGAUUGUAAAGCACUUUAAGUUGGGAGGAAGGGCAUUAACCUAAUACGUUAGUGUCUUGACGUUACCGACAGAAUAAGCACCGGCUAACUCUGUGCCAGCAGCCGCGGUAAUACAGAG
rnacentral:rRNA from 1 species